rnacentral:rRNA from 1 species
AACGAACGCUGGCGGCACGCCUAACACAUGCAAGUCGAACGAGACCUUCGGGUCUAGUGGCGCACGGGUGCGUAACGCGUGGGAGUCUGCCCUCAGGUACGGAAUAACUCAGGGAAACUUGAGCUAAUACCGUAUAAUGACUUCGGUCCAAAGAUUUAUCGCCUGGGGAUGAGCCCGCGUCGGAUUAGCUAGUUGGUGAGGUAAAGGCUCACCAAGGCGACGAUCCGUAGCUGGUCUGAGAGGAUGAUCAGCCACACUGGGACUGAGACACGGCCCAGACUCCUACGGGAGGCAGCAGUGGGGAAUAUUGGACAAUGGGCGCAAGCCUGAUCCAGCAAUGCCGCGUGAGUGAUGAAGGCCUUAGGGUUGUAAAGCUCUUUUACCCGGGAAGAUAAUGACUGUACCGGGAGAAUAAGCCCCGGCUAACUCCGUGCCAGCAGCCGCGGUAAUACGGAGGGGGCUAGCGUUGUUCGGAAUUACUGGGCGUAAAGCGCACGUA